CCCUUAGAUGUCCUGGGCCGCACGCGCGCUACACUGAGUGUCUGAGAUACGAGUCUGCCUGGUCCGGCAAGGUCUAGGUAAUCGCUAAAAGACACAUCAUGCUUGGGAUAGAUUAUUGCAAAUAUUAAUCUUGAACGAGGAAUUCCUAGUAAGCGCAAGUCAACAGCUUGCGUUGAUUACGUCCCUGCCCUUUGUACACACCGCCCGUCGCUACUACUGAUUGGAUGUUUAAGCGAGGUUCUCGAACUGCUAGCGACUUAGCUUCGGUGAGGUCGCAGUGUGCGAAGUGAACCUAGCUUUGGUGUCUAGAGGAAGUAAAAGUCGUAACA
rnacentral:rRNA from 1 species